GAUGAAGAACGCAGCGAAAUGCGAUAAGUAGUGUGAAUUGCAGAAUUCCGUGAAUCAUCGAAUCUUUGAACGCACAUUGCGCCUUCUGGUAUUCCGGAAGGCAUGCCUGUUCGAGAGUCAUUAACAACCGUUUCGAUCCCUUUCUUUCAGAAAUUACAAAGAGGAAAAGGGUUUGGUUAUGGUGGAGGAGGGAAAGGGAGCGUUUAGCCUGUAAAAAAAGAGGCUGUGUUCCGCCUCCCCCCCAAAAUUGUACAGGCGGUCGUGUGCGCCCACGCAUCGAGGUGUUGUAAAAGCUGCCACGGCACUUUUCACCUGUGCAGUGCGAGAUUGGCCAGCCGGUUUAAAAACCCCUCCAAACAAUCAAAUGUUGACCUCGGAUCAGGUAGGGAUACCCGCUGAACUUAAGCAUAUCAAUAAGCGGAGGA
rnacentral:misc_RNA from 1 species